rnacentral:sRNA from 2 species
UUCCAACAAACGCUGAAUUCCCGAACCGGGAAGCGGGGGAACCAAUCGAAACCGCCGAUAGGAAGGACGGUUUCAUGGGGUGAAUCCUUUCGCGCUUGUUUUGCAAGUGCAAGGGUAGGGCACUCUCAAGCCCGAAUCCGACAGCUAACCUCGUAAGCGGAUUGAGAGAGAACGA